UCGAGCAUUGUCGGCCAUAAGAGUGGUAAAGGAAGCGACGUCGUAUUGUUGUUGAACAGAAGGAAGACCAAAGUAGGUGUUGGUUAUAUCAUUACUGCCACAUAUAACCAUGAACAAACUGUUUUUAAUUAUGAGCUUUGUCCUUUCUUCCCCAACCAUUUUCUUCAUCUUCUCUACAUACUCUUCGAAUAACUUCAGUUGCUGCGAUAAAGCUAUUCCUCCCUUUAAGAACAACAAUGGUUUAUAUAUAAAAAGGGAACGUAACCAGCACCACCAGACGCAAAUGUUACACCGGUUAAGAGAUCUUCUGGUUUCAAAUUUGGAUUUCGAUAUGCCGGUAUACUUGGUUUAAUUCCGAAUUUUCCCGCUAUGAUUUGCAAGAGAAAAUAACUAUUACCAGUUAUAUAAAUUUAUAUCAUUUGUCCUUAAUUUCUUUGAUGUUUCGCUUUUGAGUUUUUAUAUCUCAAGAAAAUGACACAUAUUGAAAACUUGGAAAAAAAAGAAAGAUCAUUUGUGUAAAAUAUAAUAAUUUUUUUUUGUGAUGGUACCAUUUUCUGGAGUUUUUUUGUGUACCAUACGUAUAUCUUUAGUCAAUAAUGUAAAUUACAUACAUAUUAACAGUUUUAACACUAGUCAGUCACUUAGAUAUUAUUCAGCACUACGUACGAUACAAUAAAUGACUUUUAUAUAAGUUUUUUGUUUUGUUUUUUUAUUGAUAAAAGGUUUUCUAUAGAUUUUUUGUCUCUUUUCAGUUUACAGGCUUGAGAAGUUUUCAGAGUGUUCACAAAACACAAAUGCAACUAAAAGUGUGUGUUUAGUUGUUAUCUAUUGGGGAAAUUCUCGAAAUAUAAUCAAAAUUACAUCUGAGAAAGCAACGUGAAAUUUACCUAUAAAAUCAGUCGCAACUUUGCCGUUGCAAAAUCUUCCGGUAGGAAUUCCACCGUCAAAAUCGAUGCCGUAAGGAGGAUAAUUGCAUCUAGCCAACGUUGUCAUAAUGUCGUCAUUAUUUCCGGCAUCAACGAUUGAAUCUCCGAACACAAUUAUCGCCGGAGUCGUUUCGUUUGGCGGCUGCUUCACCAAAGCGUUGGUGGACGUCUUACAUAACAACACGAGAAAGAAAACACACCAAAACGGACUCGAAGAAAAAGAAGUAACGUGAUGAAUAUUUAUACUGUUUCGUUUCAUUGUUACUCUUUGUUUCUUUGGAAGCUUUUGGAAUGAUGAGUAAAUAUAUAUAUGUAGAGCUUGGAUCGACAUGUGAAAAUUUAACAUAUGAGG